rnacentral:rRNA from 1 species
CUUUAUAGUAAGUUUUGAAAUCAAGAAUUGAGCCCUCCACAAUCCUGUCUGAUCUCGGAAGUUAAGCUGGGUCGGGCCUGGUUAGUACAUGGAUGGGAGACCACCUAGGAAGACCAGGUGCUGUAGGCG